rnacentral:lncRNA from 1 species
AUGUAUUUCCACAGCUGUAGACCUUUAGGGAAGAAGGCAUCUGCCAAGGUCACGGGGAAGGUCUGGGUUUCUGCCUGGCAUAGCCUGGUGCCUGCAGCCUCAGUUUCCCCAGCAGUUGCCUCCUCUGCCACUCCUCCCCUCAGGAGACUCUGGCUGACCUGGUGCUGCAGCUGCAGCUGGCGCGGCGGGAGAAGCGGGCCCUGGAGCUACGGGAGGCGGCCCUGCGGGCCCAGGCGCCCGCGCUGCUGCUGCUGCUGGGUCAGCUGCGCUGGGAGCGGGCACAGCUCGGGCCCGAGGACAGCAGCAGCGGGGACAGCAGCGCGGGCGACAGCAGUGAGGACGAGGAGGCGUGGCCCCAGCAGGGCCUGGCCAGUGGCAUGGAUGGAGGCCCGGAGUGCAGAGCAUGGGACCAGGAGAAGCUGGCCCAAGACCUGGCCUUGUCCCUCAGCCGGUGUGUGCUGGGGCUGGGCGAGGCUGGGGGGAGGGGUGGGGAGUACAGGCCGCAGGGCAGGCUGUGGCGUGACCCUGUCCCCUCCCGCUCAGCGCCCAGGGCCUGCAGGAGCAGCUGCGGUCCCUCCGGGCACAGCUGGAGCAGGUGGCCCAGCGAGGGCGUGCUGGGCGGGCCCAGAGUGCAGAGCUGAGCGCAGAGCUGUGCAGAGCUCACAGGUGGGCCUGGUCCCCUCCUGGUGGUCUUCCCUGGGUCUCACUCAGUUUCCCCCGUGUGUUCCGUCCUCCCCGGAUGGCUGCUCCCAGCCUGAGUAUGGGAGGACAGAGCCUGACCCAGGUCCCCCGCAGAGCCCUGGUCCUGGGCUUCCGAGGAGCCCACCGGAAGCAGGAAGAGCAGCGCUGGAAGGUGGAGAAGCAGAUGGCACAGAUGGAAGCCCGGCAGGCCGAGGAGCUGGCCAGGCUGGAGGCCACUGCCCGAGCCCUGGGGAAGCCCCGGACGUGCCCUCCGCUGCCCCUGCUGGGGGAGACCCUGCUGUAGUCGGUGUCAUGGUGUCAUAAAGUGUCCUCCAGUGACACUGUGCAGGAGUGACUCGCUUGCUGGCCUGGUUCUCCUCCAUGGCUUGCUGGGUGUGGCUGGGCAGGGUCUUGGCUUAGCCCCUCGUGUGGUGAUGAACCGGUUCAUCAGUGGGGUGUGGUCAGAAGCGACCAUGCUCAAGGGACCUGGGCUGGGCCACUUCCGGGGUCAGUGAGGCCACACAGCCAGGGCUGAAGUGCCAGCUGUCUUGGUCCAGAAGCCAGGGAGGGGUCAUGAGGGCAAGACGACGCUUCCCCGGCCUCCCUCCUCCCUAAGGGAUGGUGCUCCAAAGGGAGACAGGUUGGCCAGUUCAGGUUCACAGCCUGAAAGGUUAUCGGGUGCUCUCAAGAGGGGAGGAGUGGCCUGAGACACUCAGAGACUUGCAUUUAAAGGUGGAGCGAAAUACCCCACAAGUUGGCACACAAUCUGCAAGGCCAAGCAGGAGGAUCUCAGUCCUGGGGAACUUAGUGACUCUGGGAGACCCUGUCUUUAAAAAAAAAGUUCCAAGGAUGUAGCUCAAUUGUGAAGGUCCUGCUUCCAUCCCAGCACUGAUAAACACACAAAAAAGUAGAGCUAAAAUAAGGAGGCUCUGGGGCAGGCACUACAGAGGCAGAAGCUUGGAAGUCCUUAUGCUUUGGGGUGAGACUGGAGGUCCCAGUGAGUGGUGGAAAGCAGGCCUGGACCACGCAGUCCAGUCUCGAGCUCUGGCUUCCUCGGCAGGGCGUGGGGGUUGGUUUUGCCCAGUGAGCAGCAGGCGGUAGGUAGAUCAGCCUGUCCUCUGGAUAGGCCACACCCUUGCGCCCCACAGCCGCGGGGCGUGGGGCUGGGAUUAGAGGCCUGCUGUCCCCUCCGGGCCAGAACUGAAACCCAAGUCAGGAUUAGAAAGAUUUGGUCCCCGGCCUGGGGCGGGGGCUUCAGGCCUCACCUGGGCAGGUGUGGACUGGGGCCAGUCACGCGGGCCUGGCCAGAAGUCUCCCCGAGCCCACCAGCGCCUGGUACCUGCUCCUUCCCGCCCCAAAGGCAGCACCGGGAGGAGGGCGCCGUGUCCUCCCCUAACCCUGGUCUCCCUCCCACGCCCCAGUUUGAAAGAAAGCAGGGAAACUGAGGCGGACUGCUAUGCGGGAGGGGGUGAGGGUGUGCAGAGAGAAGCCAACUUCCCUCCCCCACCGCGACUCCCCAGUCCCCCAGGUGGCCGUGGGGGACCAGGGAGCCAAGGUCACCUGGGGGCGGGGCGGGUUCCCAGGCGCAGCGCCAGUGUCUGGCGGUUCCCACGGGCGCCCCUGCGGCAGAUGGGCCCGGGCCCUUUGUCCCCGUCCGCGGCAGCCACAAGGUCAGAUGUCACCGCGGGGCCGCGGGCAGGGGUCAAGGGGCGGGACUGAGAAGGGUGGCAGGGCGGCCCCUGGGGUUCUGGGGUCCGCCGUGAGUAGCGGGGUCCUUCCCUCCAUCCUCUGAGUCCCCCCCUCCUUUUCGGUCCCCUUCCCUCCCUAAGUCCUUGGGUUUUUUUUAUCAUUCCAUGAUACCCGUCUCUGGUGCCCCACUGCUGGGACCCCUGUCCUCACCCCAAAUGAGGAGCCAGCGCUCCUGUGUUCGCAGGAAACCACACACCGUGCUCUGUGGCCCCUGGGUGAGACCCAGGGAAGUUCUGCCCAGAACUGCCCCGAGUCGCGCCUGCUUUCGGAGUUCAUGAAAGCAGGCAGAGCGCUGCGAGGGGUGCGCCGGGCUGGCUACACCGUGCUGUUUCCCUUUAGGUGUUGCGUAACCUCCAAAAGGGCGGCUCUCCAGGAGCAGGUGUGGACCAGGGCGCUGGCUGCCCAGCAGGCCGGAGCUGGCUGGUGCUGACCUGAAGGCGGAGGUGAAAGGUCGCCUCGGCCAGGCCUUCUACUGCGGUUAAAAGUUAACAGGCCCGGAGCCCGGGCGUGCAUGCAGAGAGCGCCUAAUAGAUGCGCUACGCGCUGGGGCCUGGCCGAGGGGCGGGGACAGGAGGCAGCUGGGCUGCCCAGAGUGACAUCUGCAGUCCAGCCGGCCGUGCCCUCCCCGUGCGGCACAGAAAGAAAAGGAGACUCAGGGGGGGAGGGCUGGCGGGGAGGGG